rnacentral:rRNA from 1 species
UACAGAGGGGGCAAGCGUUGUUCGGAAUUACUGGGCGUAAAGGGUCUGUAGGCGGCCAUCUAAGUCAGACGUGAAAUCCCUCAGCUUAACUGGGGAACUGCGUCUGAUACUGGAUGGCUUGAGUGCAGGAGAGGAAUGCGGAAUUCCAGGUGUAGCGGUGAAAUGCGUAGAUAUCGAGAGGAACACCAGAGGUGAAGACGGGUUGCUGGGCCGACACUGACGCUGAGGCGCGAAAGCCAGGGGAGCAAACGGG